AACCGCCGUAUGCGGAAUCGCAUGUACGGUGGUGUGAGAGGUCGGUGAACACGAAAGUGGAAAUAAACACCUAUCAUUAGUGUUUACCUCCUACUCGAU
rnacentral:ncRNA from 1 species